AGCCUAAACCAAAUACUUGGCAUGGCGAAGAAGACCUUGGAAGAUAAAGAACCCAUCAUGGGGUCGUCUUCCAAGGCCAUAUCGGGAAACCGGUAUGAGAGACUUCGGUCUCU
rnacentral:sRNA from 1 species